rnacentral:lncRNA from 1 species
GAGGUACAGAAAAUAAAUCAAGCAGUUAAUCUCUCCCAUCUAGUCAACCAAUCUAAAUUCUGGAUAUUUUGAUGUGAGGACCCCUAACAGGCAAGCUACAGGACUCCAAAUUGAGCAAGAUUAGAUCCUACAAAAUUUUGAGAGAAGCAAAAAAGAAACAUAAUUUACAUAAUUGAAUUUGGAUUCCAGAUGAGGUGGCUACAAUAGGUUGAAGUUGGUAACAAUGUUGGACACAACAAGAAACACCCGAUACACCCAGAUUCUUCUUAGUGUUUCUUGGCACAAAGAUCUGAUAUGGCAAUCAAUUUUGAGUGGCAAAGAGCUAUCUUGGAAAGAAUUAAAUGAAAGAAAAUCAGAGUCCAAACUAAUUCUGCAUGAGGAGCAAACUUAGAAAGAAUUGGAACCAAUUCUUGAAAAACUUGAUUUGGGCAGCCGAAACCUUACUUUGUUUUGCA